rnacentral:lncRNA from 1 species
AAGAUGGUGAAUGAAAUGGCUUGUAGGGUAUGGAGUGUGGGGAGGACUUUCUUUUCCAGAUAUUUAUGUCUUUGGAAAACACAUUACAGUCAAAGGCCACUGUUUCAAUAUUGAAUAUGGCUGGGUUCAAAGUGAAUAGAAAGUCAACCUUGCACUGGUGAUCAGGACCCAGGUAGGAUCUGACUUAUUAGCCAUAAAUCUUUGAACUGCUCCCACCUUACAAGGAAAGUACCAUCACUGACCCUGAGGGGCUGCUCUUCCUGAGUCUCAUCUGAAUUGGGUGGAAAUGCUGAGGAGGCAGGUCCAGGAGCUCCCAACAUGGCAGCUCCUGCCUGGUCUCUCAUCCCCUUGCCUGGAGCCUGGAUGAUCUGACAUGCCUACAUGCCUCCACUGAAAGUGCCUCUUCUCUGCCCAGGGUCUGAGCAUUCCUGAACCACUCUCCCUACUGGAGUAGAACUCAACCUGGCUAGGGGUCAGGCUCACCUCAUAAAGGCCAAUGUUG